AUGCACUUCCUGUCACUAUCAUGUCUAUUUCGUCUGUUAUGUGUUAUGAUGUUUCACAACAGACUCAUCUCAUGUUAGCCGAGAAUCCCAAAGGAUGUUAGCAUAGCUUGCUAACAGGAAACAGUCGGAAACGGAACAUCUGAAUUCUCUCGUGGUCUACGAAACUAAUGAAGCUAACAUAACCUGCUAGCUGUGAAGGUGAUCUGUCUCUGGAGGAAAAGUUGCUGCUGUCAAUUUGUAACAAUGUCUAAAGUCCAAAUGCUGAGAGCUUUUGUCAACCAGCGACUAACUCUGGCAGCUGAAGAGAUAUGUGAGCUGUUUGAAAGAACAAUAGGAGAAUACGAGGUGCUGCUUUGUGGACAACGCAAGCUACUCGACGCUGUUCUUCAGCCUGAAAUCCGCUUACACAGAGCAGAUGUGGAGCCGCGCUCGGUGAGUGAAAGAGAGGAUCCCCCUGAGAGGCUGGAGUGGAUCCACAGUCUGGAUCAGGAGGAGCCACCAGAGCUGCCACACAUUAAAGAGGAGCAGGAGGAACUGUGGACCAGUCACGAGGGAGAGCAGCUUCCAGGGCUGGAGGAGGCUGAUGAAGAGAAACCUCAGUCCUCUCAGUUUCAUCAAAGACAUACUGAACAGAUGAAAACAGAAGCGGAUGGAAAGGAUAGCGAAGGGUCAGAACAAGCCAGGAGCUCAGAUCCAGAUUUACAACCAGAUACUGACGACAGGAGUUCACACUCCUCCUCUGACUCUGAGACUGAUGACAGCCGUGACUGGGAGGAGACCAGAGAACCUCGCUCAGGUUUAAAGAAGAAUGAAGGACAUCAGCAGAAACACAAUGGACUCCAGACAGGAGUGAAACCAUUUACCUGCUCAGUUUGUGAUAAAAGAUACCACAGGAAGAACUGGUUAAGGGCUCACAUGAGACUUCAUUCAGAAGGGAAACGUCUCAGCUGCUCAGUUUGUCAAAAAACUUUUCAGUGGAGACGAGAUGUUGUGAAACACAUGAGAAUCCACACAGGAGAGAAGCCCUUCAGCUGUUCUGUCUGUGGGACAAAAUUUUCACAAAAGGAAGCUUUGAGCCGACAUAUGAAAAUUCACACAGAGGGAGAAGCAGUUGAGGUGGUUUCCUCAGGUGGUCUGGGAAGGCAGAGGAAGAGGCCAAAUCCUGAGACCUGGAAGGCCAACGUCCAGAAAAGGAGGCGGAUGAAGGGCCAAUCCUAUCUUGGCAGAAAAAACAAAGAGACAGUGUUGAAGGAGGCAAGACAAAUGGGCAUGCCAUGCCAGUCUGUGGUCUGCCAAAAAUCUUCUAAACUGAACUGUAGACAAAUAGAUGAAUCAAAGAGAGGGGAGAUUUUUAAGUACUUCUGGGAGAAAUUGGACUGGAAAGAGAGGAAAAUUUAUGUCAAAUCAUUAGUGGAACUGAGCAAUGUGAAGAGGCAGCGGACAGCAGCAGAAGAGUCCAGGAGGUCAGCUUGCAGACACUUCCUACCUUCACGUGUUGAAGAAACACUGGGAGAGAAGAAGCUGCUUAUUUCAUCCUCGUCAGUCCAGGUGUUCUGAGUGCAUCUGAUCUGAGGACUCUGUGAGUGAGUUGGUUUUAGUUGAGCUCCUGCACCAUAACUUUAUUUUUUCAGUGUUAAAAUAGAGAAGUCCAUAACACUGAUUUGCACAAAAGUCAUGCAGGAUUCUGUAACAAUUGGUUCAUCUUAAUGUCGAAGCAAGAGAGGAAAAGAAUGCAAAGAAAAAAAAGUCACUUCUGCAACACAGCCAGUGCCUCCGUGAAGUCCCCAGCCGCAAAGAAGGAUCUUUUUGAGAUGGAGGAAGAAUCUGUGGCCCAAGACAACAUCAUCUCCGCCCUCUCUCAACUCGUUAACAUGAAGCACUACAGGAGAAAUGCUGCAGCUCGUAGGAGUUUCCUCCUCCAGGUGAAGUGACAUCAUGGGCAUUGGCUGUGAACCCCAGGAACAACUACAGGUACAUGUGGAUGGACAUGUCUCAUCCUUUAUGGACUCUCCAACAUCAACAACUUGAGAAUGAGGCUGUGCUUACUUUGUCCAUGUCGACAGAGAGCUCUGCAAACCACUGCCUGGCAUCUUUCUGCUGUACCACACAGGCAACAUGCAGACAGGCUGUGGGAAGAAAAGAAAAACAGCUGAUCAUAUUAUGUCUGAUAAUUAAGUCAGUAACUACAUUAAAUAGCUGUGGUGAGAAAUGCAAGGGGACAAAUCUUACCCAAGGCAAUCAUGAAGGGAGGGUAGAGCAGACACAGGUCUGUCCUGUAUGUGUCAUUCACUAUUCGCCUGUCACAGACAGAGAAAUUAUGUAAGCCUACCAUCUAUACCUAGUAUGUUGUGAAUCUAAUCAUCUGUGACAUCACUGGCUGAUUUCCAAAUAAAUGCACAGACGGCAUCAUACCAGGCCAGGGGUAGCAGCAUGUCCUCCUGUCCCAUAUCCUGCACAUACUGCAACAGUGGUCUGUAGGGGUGGUACACUAUGAGGCAGCAGUCCUGAAAAAUGUAUACAUUAAGAGUAAGUAAUCCAUCCAGUCAAGCAAAACACAACCUGCAGUACAGUAGCAGUAACACAUAGAUCUCCCCACUCACCAUCAACUCCAGAAGAUAGAACUCACAUUCUAAUAUCUGUAAAGACACAAAAUUAUAUUCAGCAUGUCAGACCAGUUUAACUCAACCUUUUCUAACAAUGUCUGACAGAAAACAUAGACGACAACCUAUUCAUAGGAUAUAACAAAAAUAAGGGGCAAAAAUACCCCCUUAUCAGAUUACUUGAAAAUCAACUAGGAUAUCUCUUUCUGUAAUUUAUUUAAGUCCUUUCAUAGUGUGCAGUGCAUGUAUUUUUUUAUGUGACAACCUGUAGUGGCACUUCAAAACUUUAACUCACUCACUUAAAUAAUUAUACCUAAUAAACAUCAGAAUUUUGCCUUCAAAUGCUGUUUACAUUGCCAGAUAAAGGAAUAAUCUUGGAGUUUUUGCUGGGGAGGAGGUCCAUCAAGAAAUAUCAACUCGUCUUUCAAACAAACACCAUGGCUGUUUGCCCCGGGCUGCCACCACUCUUACUAUGUAUGCAGACUGGACUUAAGCAAUUACAUGCAGGAGUUGCAGCAGCCUGCGAACUCAUUAUCUACUGUGUGAACCACUCCCGCCUUUUAUCGCUCCAUGGUGGCUCACUAUAAAUAAUAGUUUACACAGCUUUCUGGACAGGCAGCAUGUCAGAACAGCCCAGCUGACGUCCUGGCGACUCAGAGGAGAUGCUGGAUAAAUAAAAUGUCGGCAGUACACACCACUUGACACCGCAGCGAGAAAUGCAGAACGAAUACGCAUGUAGUUCAACACAGGUGGCCCCGAUCUAAGCUACCUCCCACAGCAGCAAGGAUUUUAUCAGAGGAUUGUGAACAUUAGUUGUGGAAUCUUACAUAUUGGUGGACACUGACAUGACAACACUGUGACACAGUGUAAGAGGUCCUUGGUACACUGUAAUGUAACACGGCAGUGCAUAAAUAACUCGUGGAGGAAGCUGGAAAACAAUUAUGGGGCUGAUUCAUAGCAUAGCUGAUCCACCAGCAUUUGGUUAUUUGAGUGGUUUAAACUGGUGAAUUAUUUCUGACUUUGUUUUAGUCUCUUUAUAGCACAAACACACAUUUGGACAGUCUAAUUAAAUAUUUUGUCAUUGUUUCAUUAGACUUUACUUGUCCUCAAUUUAUCAUGGCAUUUACUGUUAAAUUAAUGUUAUUUCUGAUUAUAGUUUUUACAAUGCAUUUAGUGUAAUGGCAGCAGUUUCUAAAAGCCUAAACUUUAAAUUGUUUCAUAAAUGUUUUACUCACAUGAUUCAUUCUGUAAGGAAACUCCUUUGGAAAGGCAUAGGAAAAUCUUGUUUUCACUGUUUGAGGAAAAGCAAAAUAUCAUUACAUUGUCUCCACUGCAGAAUAAAAAACAAUUUUCAGGAUGUGCAUUACUUUCAUGUUUAGGAAAUAUGUUGCUCAGUGUGACAACUUACACACAGAUGUUGCUGCAGAGAUCAGCCUGGUAUUGGACACUACUCCAAAUUCCUGAAAGGACAUAAAUUUUUGAACUCUGAUCAGAUGGAUAGAGCACAGAUCAGAUACAAAACAGUCCAUGGUGGUGCUACUGGAGGAUUUGGAUGAGAAGCAUCUCAGUGCUCACC